GUGUUCACUUUGUCAGCACAUGCGCUGAAACUGGAAUGGUGCAGAGAAGGUCAGCAUGGCCUCUGCGCAAGGAUGACACACGAACUCGUGUCAUUCCAUAUUUUU